rnacentral:lncRNA from 10 species
CCAACAUAAUUCAACUGAUAUAUCAAGCCACAAAGCUUUAGGAAAAUCAGGGCUGGGUGUGGUGGCUCAUGCCUGCCAUCACAGCGCUUUGGGAGGCUGAGGCAGAUUAACUGAGCCCAGGAGUUCGAGACCAGCCUGGGCAACAUGGCGAAACUCUGUCUCUACAAAAAAUACAAAAAAUUGGCUGGGAGUGGUGGCAUAUAGUCCCAGCCACCUGGUCAGCUGAGGUGGGAGAAUCACCUGACCCUGGGAGGUUGAGGCUGUAGUGAGCUGAGAUCGCACCACUGCACUGUAGCCUGUACUCCAGCCUGGGUGACAGAGUAAGACCCUGUCUCAAAAUAAAAAUAAAAAGUAACAAAAAAAGGAAAAUCAGAAAAGUGUGCAAGUACUGUGUGGCAUAUAUCACCAACUAGACUCAAGCAUUACCGUCGUCGCAGUGGCUGUCCCCGCUGUUCCUCUAGGGAAGCUCCCUCCUGAGCAUGGAUGGGGUUUGCAUAAGUCCCAUGAUUCUCGCUUCUUUUGCUCACACCCUCCUUCCCUCUGUCUUCUCUCAUUUGGCUCUGCAAUUAUAGCAGCUACAGAGAGCUGCCUGUUCUCUAUUCUUUUUCAGAACAAGCUGCAGUGAGGACCUGAUAGUCAAAAUUACUUGGAGGAAAAUCACAGCUCUUCUCCCCUAGAAAGUCUGCUGAGUCUCACCAGGAGAAUCUCACAGGGAGGCUGCCACGAAUUCUCUCUGCAAGGACUGUGAAACUCAGGGUCCUGGAACCUGGGGAGAUCGAGGGACAACUGUACAUCAGCCUGCUGAGAAAUGUUUUGCAGGAUUCAUGAUUGGGAUCUUCGUACUAAGCCUUUCUUGAGGGAGUGUCUCAGACUCAACCAGCCUCAAUUUUCCCAUGAAUCCUUCUUCAUUGCCUUCCUAGAUUGCUACUCCGCAUCUCAGCUGACCCCAUACAAACAAACUCCAAUAGUGUCUCCAAUCGCGUGCUGUGUUAAAUUUUAACUUUAUAACCAACCAUCAUUUGCUACUUCCAUCUAACCAAGCCAGUUUCCUUAUGAUGCACACACUUGUGUUUAGCUCACAAUUUGUUCUACAUGCUUGCUUAUUUAUUCAUUCAGCAAGUAUUUAUUGAGCCCCAACUGUGCACUAGCUGCUGUCUCAGGUGCUGGGGAGACAGGAAGAUCAAAAUAAAACCCCUGCCUUCAAGUGCCUUAUUGUUUAAGGGUCAACAGAAUAAACACAUAAGUGAAUAUAUAUCAUGUGAGGUGGUAAAAAGGGCUGGGCAGAAAAUAAAGGUUGGAAAAGGAUGGAAAGUACUGGAGGGUGGUGUGAUUUUAGGCUGGAGCGUCAGGAAAAGCAGAGAAGAAAUGACUGUUACAGAUGGAAGUGAGUGGAAUGCUCCAAGCAGAGGGAACAGCAAGUGAAAGCGCCCUGUGGUAGAAGCAUAUUUGGCACAUGUGAGGGACUGCAUAAAGGCCAAUGUGGCUGCAUGGGGGUUUGGGAGAUGUAGGGACAAGGUCAGAGAGGUAGCCAAUGUCAGCAUCAUUGCUGUUAGGACUGGGUGGGACCCCAAAAGAAGUAUUAAAUAGUACCAUCUAGUUUUUGUUCUUGAGGAGGUCACGUGUUAAUAUACUGAUUGUUUGAGGUACAACAGAGUCAAAAAGGGGAUAAUUUAUCGAGGUACAAGCCUAGGAUAUGGGUUGCUCCUGUUGCCCCUAAGUCUACCACGCCUGCACAGAUCCUGCUAGUUCUUUCUUUUUUUUUUUGAGACGGAGUCUCGCUCUGUCGCCCAGGCUGGAGUACAGUGGUGCGAUGGCGGCUCACUGCAAGCUCCGCCUUCCGGGUUCACGCCAUUCUCC